rnacentral:rRNA from 1 species
CCUACGGGGGGCAGCAGUGGGGAAUAUUGGGCAAUGGAGGAAACUCUGACCCAGCAAUGCCGCGUGAAUGAAGAAGGUCUUCGGAUUGUAAAGUUCUUUAGUCAGGGAAGAAGUCAAUGACGGUACCUGAAGAAUAAGCUCCGGCUAACUACGUGCCAGCAGCCGCGGUAAUACGUAGGGAGCAAGCGUUGUUCGGAAUGACUGGGCGUAAAGGGUGCGUAGGCGGUUGUACAAGUUAGAAGUGAAAUACCCAGGGCUUAACUCGGGUGCUGCUUCUAAAACUGUAUGACUUGAGUGCAGUAGAGGUUAGUGGAAUUCCUAGUGUAGCGGUGGAAUGCGUAGAUAUUAGGAGGAACACCAGAGGCGAAGGCGGCUAACUGGACUGCAACUGACGCUGAUGCUCGAAAGCGCGGGUAUCGAACAGGAUUAGAUACCCGUGUAGUC